rnacentral:rRNA from 2 species
AGCAUAGCGAUUUGGGAUAAGUCCCUUGGAAGAGGGCAGCAUGGAGGGUGAUACUCCCGUCUCUGCUCAGGUUGUCUGUGUGUGCGAUACGCUUUCUUUGAGUCGAGUUGUUUGGGAAUACAGCUCAAAGCAGGUGGUAAAUUCCAUCUAAAGCUAAAUAUUGGUGCGAGACCGAUAGCGAACAAGUACCGUGAGGGAAAGAUGAAAAGAACUUUGAAAAGAGAGUUAAAAAGUACCUGAAACUGUUGAAAGGGAACCGUAUCGUUUCUAGUGUGUAUCCUAUGCAUAUUUCAUUGGCGGUUGUAAAAUUGCUGGUGCCCUGUGUAUGGGUGUGACGUCAGAGUCAGUUUGAAUUGCGGGAGAUGGGUAGUGAGGAGGUGCGUCACUUCUUGUGAAAGUUACAGCUCGCUAUCUAGUAGCCGUGGUUGAGACUGAGGUGCC